UUUUAUAAUUAAUAUAUUCUUUAAAAGUGUGUCAAAAAUUUAUUCUGAUGCUUCUACUUUAAAUUAUGACUGGAAAGGCUUUACUUAACCUCACAAGCUUAUACCCACAUUUACUUUCUCCAGAGUGAACUCUUACACUAAUCAGGAUUAUUUGGAAGAUGAUUAGAGGAGACAGAGAUGCUUUACUGCUUGUGUUUCUUGCAGAGGAGUCAGAUUUGGUUUUCAACUCCUGCUAGGUGUCUUUCAGCCAGCUGUAACUCGUUCCGGAGGGUCUAACACCCUCUUCCAACCUUUUAUGGGGACCAGGCAUUCCUGAAGCACACAAAUAUACAUGCAGGGAAAAUACUCAAUACAUAUAAAAUUAAAAAAAACAAAGAAAAAAUAAAACAUGCUCCUAGAAACUGAGCAUUGCAGUCCUAACCUAUAAUUCUAAGAGUUCAGAGGCUGGGGUAGGAGGAUUACAAGUUUGAAGCCUACCUAGAUUACAGAGGAAGACUGUAACCUGGGCAACUUAGUGAGCCUCUGUUGAAAUAAAAAUCUUUUUUUUAAUUGGUGAGGACCUGGGGCAUAGACUCUCAAGAGUGCACACACAAGGCACUGGGUUCAACCUCCAAGGCUGCAAAAGAAAAGUAGAAAGGAGAGAGAUUGCAGGGUCUCCUGAAAACACCGCUUUGCUGCUCUCUCCCUGUCCGGAAUCUGAUUUGGGCUGGAGUACAUGCAGCCAAAGACAUCCAAGAGAGCUAAGGCCGAGCUGGCCACUCUCGAGCAUCCUUAGUGAAACUCCCAGCGAGCCUUGGCCUUUGUCUUCUGAUUCUCCCUACACUGUUUGGGGCAUCCUUUUCAUUCUUUCAAGCCAUUUCCUGAAAUGAUCAGUCUAUCUCAGAGGACUCGCUGGCUUCCAAAGAAGCAGGAAGAAGUGGCCAGAGUUUUGACCUCAGGUCAUCACCCUUUCCAUAUCAGGAGGAUUUGUGAGUUUCUGAAACCACUUAUUGAUGUUUAAAGUGGUAGCUCUAGGGAGAUAUAUGACAGCGGGGCUCUGUGAGGGACAAUUCUUCAGGACACAUCAGAAGACCUAAAAAGGAAGGUUGUUCAUAGUUCUAAUCAGCAGAAAACACAUCUGCUUCUCACAGGCCUUAUUGGGUUGCUGUCCCGUAUGAGAGUCUUAGUCACAGACCAACUCUGGUGGUUUGCAUAUGCUUGGCCUAUGGGAAGUAGCACCAUUAGGAGGUGUGGCCUUGUUAGACGAAGUGUGUCCCUGUGUGGGUGGGCUUUGAGGUCCUACGCUCAAGCUCUGACAGUGUGGAAGCUACUCUCCUCCUGGCUGCCUGUGGAAGACAGUCUGUUCCUGGUUGCCUUUGGAACAAGAUGUAGAACUCUCCAUUCCUCUAGUAGCACGUCGGCCUACUCGCUGCCAUGCUACCCACCAUGGUGAUAAUAGCUUGAACCUCUGAAACUGUAAGCCAGCUGCAGUUAAAUGUUGACCCUCAUAAGAGUUGCCUUGGCUGGGGUGUCUCUUCACAGCAAUGGGAACCCUAACUAAGACACCAGCUCAUGCAGAUGCACCACCACAUGGGGAUUACCAUCACUAUAACUUCCUCAAGCUCCUUCCUUGGCUACCCAGUGCCUUCCACCCAUAGAAUCAGUUACAAAACAGCAGAACCGAGAAACAGCUUAGUCAUCUACCAACUUUCUUGAAGAUAAUGACAUAAAAUGAAAAAGUAAAAUAAAAAUAAAAAUGAACAAGUGUCAUAUAAAGACACUCAAAUAAGAGCCCGGUUACUUGGGUCAUUUGAUCAGAAUGCCCCACAGAGGGGUCAGUGACCUCAGCAUGUGUCCUUAUAUCCAUUCAGGGGAUUCUUACCUUUGGGCAGAUUUACAAUCGAACGCCCUGCCCUUCAGAUACUGAAUUAAGAUGCCUGCAAGGAAAUGGGGAAGAGAUAAUAUCCCUGAAAGGCCUUCCAGGCUCUACCCAUUAGCAGUCUGACUGCUAUGUGCCUUUCCUAGGAUGUUGGCUCUGUAGUUGACCAGUGUGGCCUUACAAACAGUUCUGUAUAACUAAGUGGUUUUGUGUAUCUCAUGGCAAUUUGAUGAUUUAAAAAAAGGAUUAAUGUUAUCAUUUCGUGUGUGUGUGUGUGUGUGUGUGUGUGUGUGUGUGUGUGUGUGUACAUGCAUGAGUACACGCUCGUAGUCAUGUGGAAGUCAAAACAGUUUUUGGAGUCAGUCCAUGUGAUGGUUUGCAUAUGCUUGGCCCAGGCAGUGGCACUAUUAGAAGGGGUGGCCUUGUUGGAGAAAGUGUGUCACGGUGGGAGUGGGCUUGGAGACCCUCCUCCUAGCUGCCUGAGGAUGCUCAGUCUGUUCCUGGUUUCCUUUAGGUGAAGAUGUAGAACUCAGCUCCUCCUGCACCAUGCCUGCUUGGAUGCUUCGAUGCUGCCAUGCUCCCUCCUUGAUGAUAAUAACGGACUGAACCUCUGAAUCUAGAUGGACCUCUUGAGAAAUGGCUGAUUCCAGCUCCUUCAGGACAGUACAUCACAGCAUUCGUGCAGAGAUCAGAGGACAACCUGUAGGAGUCACCUCCUUCCUUCCACCUUGUGAGUUACAUAAAUAACAGUGUGGGCUCUGGGGACAAACUCAGUGGGCCAGGCACGGAGGCAAGAGCUUUCCCCGACUGA